AGGGGGAGCGCCGGAUCCUGGGCUGUGUCCCCUGGCUCCCUGAGUUCCAGGACCUGCGCCGCUGGGAUUGCACUCAGGUGGCCGCGCAGCCCACU
rnacentral:pre_miRNA from 1 species